rnacentral:rRNA from 1 species
UACGUAGGGACCAAGCGUUGUUCGGAUUUACUGGGCGUAAAGGGCGCGUAGGCGGCAAUUCAAGUCAGCUGUGAAAUCUCCGGGCUUAACUCGGAACGGUCAGCUGAUACUGCUUUGCUAGAGUGCAGAAGGGGCAAUCGGAAUUCUUGGUGUAGCGGUGAAAUGCGUAGAUAUCAAGAGGAACACCAGUGGCGAAGGCGGCGAUCUGGGUUGAUACUGACGCUGAGGUGCGAAAGCGUGGGGAGCAAACAGG